UACCGCGACCACGACCACGACCAC
rnacentral:siRNA from 1 species